rnacentral:rRNA from 1 species
GACGAACGCUGGCGGCGUGCUUAACACAUGCAAGUCGAACGGAAAGGCCCUGCUGUUGUGGGGUGCUCGAGUGGCGAACGGGUGAGUAACACGUGAGUAACCUGCCCUUGACUUUGGGAUAACUUCAGGAAACUGGGGCUCAUACCGGAUAGGAGCUCCUGCUGCAUGGUGGGGGUUGGAAAGUUUCGGCGGUUGGGGAUGGACUCGCGGCUUAUCAGCUUGUUGGUGGGGUAGUGGCUUACCAAGGCGUUGACGGGUAGCCGGCCUGAGAGGGUGACCGGCCACAUUGGGACUGAGAUACGGCCCAGACUCCUACGGGAGGCAGCAGUGGGGAAUAUUGCGCAAUGGGCGGAAGCCUGAUGCAGCAACGCCGCGUGCGGGAUGACGGCCUUCGGGUUGUAAACCGCUUUCGCCUGUGACGAAGCGUGAGUGACGGUAAUGGGUAAAGAAGCACCGGCUAACUACGUG